AAACUUGAGAGUUUGAUCCUGGCUCAGAACGAACGCUGGCGGCAGGCUUAACACAUGCAAGUCGAACGCCCCGCAAGGGGAGUGGCAGACGGGUGAGUAACGCGUGGGAAUCUACCUAGUUCUACGGA
rnacentral:rRNA from 1 species